UAAGAAAAAGAAGAUCUCUCACGCAGUAUUAGAGCAGUAUGUUUCCUAGGAACCCAGGAGUUGCCCUGUAUGCCUGAGGCUAAUAAAAAAGCAAACGCUGAGAUACCAAGCUAAAUGGAAAAUUCACGACGCUGCACAAAUGCUGUGAUGGAAGCACCUACCAUUGUCAAGGUGCUGAAGCUUUCUGCCCCGGGUAUAACAUGUUACUUUAGUCCAGCCAAGAGAUGAGGAAGGCAUGAAUAAAUGAGGCCACGUCUUCGUCUGCCAAGAUGUUCAAAGGCGGCAAUGAUGUGAAACAUUAUGUGGCACUUUGACUCUCCAGGCAAGACCAGUUGUAACACAGCAGUGGCACUGCAGCAUCCCCCAUGGUGGCCCACCCAUGUGCCUAUACCCUGAGCUGAAGGAACCACCUUGAGAGGAAAGUGAGGAGUUUUAUUUUUAACCCACUCAAUCCAUGAUCUCUUACUAAGCCUGACAACCAGGGGACCCCAUUUCUGAUGGCGAUUUUUGUACUGUGGAUACCUGUCAAUUAAUUUAUUUCACACAGGCCAACAAGAUGCACGUGACUUUUGGUCACUACCAUCAUGGGCCACUGUAGCGAGGCGGUGUGGCUCCCCUCCUCCUCAGGGAGGGUCGAGCCCUGUCAGACACCUAAGGGGGCGGGGCCACAGAGCAGUGAGCCCGCCCCUCAGAGGGUUAGGAGGCGACCUGGAAGUAUAAAAGCCAGCUGUCAGCGCUCAGUUGGAGUCCAGCCGCCGUCGGGAGCAGACCUGCCAGAGGGUGCUCAUGACUGGGAAGCUGCUGAGGCCCAGGGCCGUUGCCCUGACUGGCUGGAGCUUCCCCGCGCCCGCUACAACGAGGAGCUGCUGGAGCCGCCCCGUCCCUGCUGUUACCCCGAGGAACCCCUGGAGCAGG